AUUGAACGCUGGCGGCAGGCCUAACACAUGCAAGUAGAACGAGUGGCGGACGGGUGAGUAAUGUCUGGGAAACUGCCUGAUGGAGGGGGAUAACUACUGGAAACGGUAGCUAAUACCGCAUACCAUCGGAUGUGCCCAGAUGGGAUUAGCUAGUAGGUGGGGUAAAGGCUCACCUAGGCGACGAUCCCUAGCUGGUCUGAGAGGAUGACCAGCCACCCUGGAUCUGAGAAACGGUCCAGACUCCUACAAGAGGGAGCAGUGGGGAAUAUUGCACAAUGGGCACAAGCCUGAUGCAGCCAAGCCGAGUGUAUGAAGAAAGCCUUCGGGUUUUAAAGUACUUUCAGCGGGGAGGCGUUACCCGCAGAAGAAGCACCGGCUGACUCCGAGCCAGCAGCCGCGGUAAUAC
rnacentral:rRNA from 1 species